rnacentral:rRNA from 1 species
CCUGACUGCUAUCGGAUUGAUACUAAGCCAUGCGAGUCAUUGUAGCAAUACAAGGCAGACGGCUCAGUAACGCGUAGUCAAUCUACCCUAUGGACGGGAAUAACCUCGGGAAACUGAGAAUAAUGCCCGAUAGAACAUUAUGCCUGGAAUGGUUUAUGUUUCAAAUGAUUUAUCGCCAUAGGAUGGGACUGCGGCCUAUCAGUUUGUUGGUGAGGUAAUGGCCCACCAAGACUAUUACAGGUACGGGCUCUGAGAGGAGUAGCCCGGAGAUGGGUACUGAGACACGGACCCAGGCCCUAUGGGGCGCAGCAGGCGAGAAAACUUUGCAAUGUGCGAAAGCACGACAAGGUUAAUCCGAGUGGUUUCUGCUAAAGAAACCUUUUGUCAGUCCUAGAAACACUAACGAAUAAGGGGUGGGCAAGUUCUGGUGUCAGCCGCCGCGGUAAAACCAGCACCUCAAGUGGUCAGGAUGAUUAUUGGGCCUAAAGCAUCCGUCGCUCGUUUUGUAAGUUUUCGGUUAAAUCCAUGCGCUUAACGUAUGGGCUGCCGGGAAUACUGCAUAACUAGGAAGUGGGAGAGGUAGACGGUACUCGGGAGGAAGGGGUAAAAUCCUUUGAUCUCUUGAUGACCACCUGUGGCGAAGGCGGUCUACCAGAACACGUUCGACGGUGAGGGAUGAAAGCUGGGGGAGCAAACCGGAUUAGAUACCCGGGUAGUCCCAGCUGUAAACUAUGCAAACUCAGUGAUGCAUUGGCUUAUGGCCAAUGCAGUGCUGCAGGGAAGCCGUUAAGUUUGCCGCCUGGGAAGUACGUACGCAAGUAUGAAACUUAAAGGAAUUGGCGGGGGAGCACCACAAGGGGUGAAGCCUGCGGUUCAAUUGGAUCAACGCC